UACGGGGGGGGCAAGCGUUGUUCGGAAUUACUGGGCGUAAAGGGCUCGUAGGCGGCCAACUAAGUCCGACGUGAAAUCCCCAGACUUAACCUGGGAACUGCGUCGGAUACUGGAUGGCUUGAAUUCGGGAGAGGGAUGCAGAAUUCCAGGUGUAGCGGUGAAAUGCUUAGAGAUGACAUAGAAUACCUAUUGCGAAGGCAGCUUACUACACAGAUAUUGACGCUCAUGCACGAAAGCGUGGGGAUCAAACAGG
rnacentral:rRNA from 1 species